CACGUAGGGCGCAAGCGUUGUCCGGAAUUAUUGGGCGUAAAGAGCGUGUAGGCGGCCAGGUAGGUCUGCUGUGAAAACUCGAGGCUCAACCUCGAGAUGUCGGCGGAAACCAUCUGGCUAGAGUCCGGAAGAGGAAAGUGGAAUUCCUGGUGUAGCGGUGAAAUGCGCAGAUAUCAGGAAGAACACCGGUGGCGAAGGCGGUCAACUGGCCCGCAACUGACGCUGAGGUGCGAAAGCGUGGGGAGCAAACAGG
rnacentral:rRNA from 1 species